CACACAUAUACCUACAUAUGUACAUAUUUAUAUUUUUCUGUAUUAUGGUAGGAUGUAUUUCUUGUGGUAAAAGUGCUACACCAAGGUUACAUAGAUCUAUUUGUAUAACUACCAUUUCAUUAUAUGUGUUAACACCAUAUUUUAAAAAUUAUUAUAGUGGUUUUGUAGUGUUAUAGGAUCUGCUGGGUUGAAUGUCAGCCUUUAUGCCCCAAAUGUAUGUAUUCUCUCUGGAUGUUCUUUUGCUUUGACUGCUUCAUUCAUGAAGAUGAAGAUCAUAUAUCACUUCUUUUCUGCAGGUGUUUAUAGCACAUAGCACAUUGAGUAAUUACAAAUAAUCUCAGUAGUAUUUUUAGUAUGUGCCAGGAGCAGAGCUAAUUACUUUAUGUAUAUUACCUGUUUAACCUUAACUCUAAGAAGUAAUAUUAUCCACAUUUUGUAGUUGAAAAAAAAAUCAAGGCAAAACAUAAAUCACUUGCUCAAGGUUGGAGUAAGUAACACAUGCUCACAUGCUCGUCUGCCCCCUUAAUACCCUUUUAUGACCUUUCUAGUAAUUGCUCAAGAAAAAUGUUUUGUAUAAACUGUAGAGCUCACUACCUCAUUCCAUCUUGCAUGUAGGUCUUCUUUACAGAUCCUCACAAAUGACAUCUUACUCCACAUUAUGUAUAGUGACUUCUUCCCUACUCUCAAAAGACUGUCCUAAGAUGUGAGGGCUAUCUGUCACCCCAUUGAUCACUGGGGUUUAUUUGGCUGAUUUGGCUUGAUAGAUGGGUGUCACCUUUCUUCUUCACCACUCCAUGUAUGUCUCUCCUGAAGACCAAGGGUAUACAAGUAGCUGUACUCCCCUGCUAGAACCUCUAGAUGAGCUCCAAAUGAGUUAAUGUAGUAGACCCUUGGUAUCUGCAGGUAUAUGGUCCCAAGGAGACCACUGUUGAGGAAGACAUACUAAUGCACAGGAUACGUAGAGUUCAGUACUCUAAAAUUACUCCCAAUUUAUCUAUACUGUACAUACAAUUGGUCCAAGCAUCCAUUACUUGAAACAUAGAGUAGGCUAAAUUACUGUUGUACACAUUGAUACUACUCAUCAACAACAACAACAAAAAAGUAGGUCUUAUUUUAUGUUCUUAAUUUCAAAUAUUGGAAAGCUUAAUUCAUUUUUCCCUUUAUACCGCUCAGCUUCAGCUAAAGACAUGCUGCCUUUCAACAAAUCUAAAAUUUUCACUUUGUCACUUAAAUUAAGCACAUUAUGUGUCCCCUUUGGCUUAGGAGGAUUGCCAUAACUUUUACCUUGCCUUUAGAACAGUGUUUGCUUUUGGGGAGGUUCACAAAAUUAAGGACAGGGAACCACUCAGCAGAUUACACAAUGAUUUAAGCACAAGCAGUGAUAAUAGGACUGAAUGAGAUUUUCUCCUCAACAAUGGGGCUAUGUAAUGUGCAUGUGGAAGUUUAAAAAUUUUGUUUUUGAAAUUUCUUUUUGAUUUUUUUUUUUUCUUGAUUGAACUUGGUCAAAACCACGUGAUAAAUUCAUGAAUAAGGCAGGAUUAUUGUAUUGCUAUAUUGUAUUUCAUCUUGUUUUUCUAACCUCCAUCUUUGGAAAAGUCUUGUGGUUGAUCUUGAGGUGAGUUUCGUAGAUUGUGAAGAUUUUGAGUAGAUCGGAAUACUAUCCCCUUCAUUAUUUCUGAAAUAUUAACUCAAAAUACAUACCCUGUAGAUGACUUGUUAGGAUAUGUUCUCAAGAUGUAAAAUGUGAAGAAUGCUGUUUAGACCCUUCUAUGCCUCUUAAUUCAUGCUGUCAGGUACCAUCAGAGGACCAGAAAUUUUGAAGAAGAUAGAAAGCUCAUGGAAUUGGAUUGACAACAAAAUCUCAGAGGAAACGGAACCCAAGAUACUUGAGUAAUAAAUACAUAAAUCCUAUUAUGAAAUACUGGAAAAACAAUGAGUUCAUGGUGUGACCCAGCAUGGGCAGAGAUGACAAAUGCAAGCAUCCCAUAGACACAGCUAACA